UCAUCGUUCAUCCGCUUACCAGACGAAACAACAUAUUACAGUGGACGCGAUCGGGAAGAGCGAGUCGACGCAUCAUCUCCUCUGCUUCUCCGACAUAUGACCCGGAGAAACCCUAGACCACAGAUCUCCGGAGCAGAGCUGUGAUGGCGGGAUUCCUUUCCAAGCUGAGACGGAUCCACCACUCGGUCUACACUGGACCCUCUUGCUCGGAUGAGGUUUGGGGAGAACCUGGUGUCAGCGACCAUUACCAUAGCUUGGAUCAAGAUUGAAGUCCUUUUGAACCUUUGAUUUCUUAUGAAGCACCGGCGAGAAGGCUUUUCUUUUAGGGGAAGAACUUCACUUUUCCCCCUUCUUGAGAGACACGGACUCAUGUUCUUGUAAUUGGUAAAAUAGAUUUGGUUAUCGGUACUCAUAAAGACCGAUUGUUGUUAGUAUUAUUACUGAGAUAGGAUAAAUGCCAGAAGAGCUUCUUCCCAUGCUUAUUCCUCUCGUCUCCUGACACAUGGUAAAAUGCUUAUUUCUCUUGCCUUAUGCACUACAUUGUCCAUGCCUUAUAUUGAGGUAGGUAAUUAUUCUCUGGUUUCUUAUAAUUAAGAACAAACAUGUUACACUGGAAUCUUGGAAGAGACAAAGGGCUAGAUGGAUUAAACAAGCUGAUUUUGUCCCAAAUAGAAAUAAACAUAAAUCUCAAGUACACAGCGAGAGGACUUAUGCUCUCUGUGUGAUCCCUAUGCUAUAAUAUGCGUUCUAGGCCAUAAAUCUCAUGUGGGUUAGUGCUUUUCAUCCAAUUUUGGUAUUGGAUUUUAUUGUUGAUCCUGCAGCUUGUUCUAAGGUGAUUGUUUUGUGAUCUUCAAAUCAUACAUUCCAUAGGGGACUUCGGAUAUUCAUGCAUACAAAAACCACAUGAUUUUAGCACGUUGUACCAUGGACAAAAAUUUUAGAUUGACUCCACUGCUCAUUGGAAAUAGUUGUUUAUGUAUGAUUGUCCCCCAACUUUCACCUUAAGAAACUGAUGGAUUUGUUUUCCUUUUUACCAAUUUUCUACAAUUAUUGUCAUGAGACACGAAUACUCAGAGUCUAUUGGAUAGGUAUGCUUGGCCAACCAAUAUCGAGGUCAAGUUACGUGAGUGAGUAGGAGUAGGCACUCAUGUUAUUUUCUGCAUUCAAUUUUUGUUUUAGAUAUUUGAGGGUGCAGUAAGUGUCAAAAUUUUAUGAAGAUGAGAAAAGUGAUGGAAUGAUCGAAAGCAUUUGGGAUGAGAAAUUCAAAUUUUGAACUGAUGAAACACACACCUUGUGGAAGAGUUUGCCAAUAUCAUGAUUAUCAACUUUUUCGGAUAUGUAAAUUCAUUUUACUUUUGAGGUUGCUAUUGCUGUGUAACCGAAUUCCAAAAUUUGAUUAUAUUUUCUAACAUAUUGAUUUUCUUUAGACAUGAUACAGAAACAAUAUGCUGCUACUUUAGUUCAGUCAUAUUUAUCACGCUUAGCACAAUGCAAAUUCUACUUCACUUGACUGGCACUACGUUGUUCUUAAGCAUAUCAAUAACACUAGUUUUCUUGAGCGUAAGUAUUAGAUUGUUCCGUUCAGUCUACUAUAGCCACUGAACUAAACAUUUUCUCCUGUACCAUUCUCUUUACAGAUCAUUAGGUGUUCUUUCUUCUGUAAGCAAGAGGCACUUGGCUUUGCACCUUUCGGUUAUUAUGGUUUAGGUACAGCACCUUUCAGUUACUGUGCCCCAUUGGCAUCACAAGUGAGGUUGCCGAAUGCAUUGCCUCACAUCAAGGUAUUGCCAUUUGGCUAGCUUCAGUAACACAAGGUUUCCACUCUUCUUUUUGCUGAAGAAUUGCUGCAUUACUCCUGCUUGCCUUGAUUAGUGUGCUAUCCAAGGGAAGUAAAGCUGAUUGGAAGAUAAGGAUUUGUCGGUUCACUGGCUCAAUCUCAUCACUGAGGACUGAGACAAAGUUGGUGGUGGCCAAGCAUUUCUGUGGGCACUCUGUGUGUGGAGCUCCCACCCCCAUGCUCCGCACCUUCCUGGUAAUAGAGAUGCGAGGUCAUGGUCAUCAUACGUCUAGACUCUUGCAAGCCACAUACAAAAGCAAGAUAGUUAUGUGGGGGAGCUCCACAUUCACAGUCGAAACUAAUCAUGCACGGGCCCAGAAAAGUAUCUGCAGAGACGUAUUUGAUUCUUCCUCUUCUGUUUGGUUUGCGACCUGCUCUGCUCAUCAGGAUCAGUAGAUAACUGUACAUGAGUGUCAGAUGGCAUAUGCACUCGGAAUAUUCAUCUUCAUUAGCAUAUAGAAGCCCAGGACAUGAAACACAGACGCUGCAUGUAAAUAAUGGAAGAAGUCUGCAUCCAAAUGUGCAACAACAGAGGGCAAAAAGGCAAGUGGUCCAGCAAGAAGCUUGUCAAGACUUCAAGUUCAACUUGUCUUUCCCUUCUGUAUGCUUCAGCUGGUGGUAUCUCAACUUUAUGUUCUCCAAACCAACUCGAUUUUGUUGGAUUAAAAGUAAGCUGAUGUGUGCCCUUACAACCAUUGCUUGCACUAGUUAUCAAACUGCUUGUUGCAUCCAAAAAUAUUCUUUGGUAGGUACAGAAGCACAACUUUGAGACACCAAAGGUUGCUUACUGCAUGCAGCUUAUCUACUUCGCAGUUUUCAGCUUAUAUAAGCAGCUGGAGAAGUUGGAAUAGCACUACAGGCAUCUUAAUAUUCUACUCUUGUCUUAGACUGAGAGGACUGGUUCUCUAUUCUAUUUGGAAAUAUCUUAUAAUUUCUAUCAAUAAUGUUUAAA